AAAACGGCCCUUUUUAGGGCCACGACAUUUU
rfam:Tropilaelaps mercedesae isolate Wuxi-XJTLT scaffold0000028207, whole genome shotgun sequence.